AAUGAACGCUGGCGGCGUGCUUAAGACAUGCAAGUCGAGCGAGAAAGUCCUUCGGGAUGAGUACAGCGGCGGACGAGUGAGUAACACGUGGGAAUUUACCCUUCAGUGAAGAAUACCAUCGAGAAAUCGGUGUUAAUACUGCAUACGUUCCUUCGGGAAGAAAGGUGGCCUCUAGCUGCCGCUGAUGGAUAAGCCUGCGGACUAUUAGCUUGUUGGUGAGGUAAAGGCUCACCAAGGCGAUGAUGGUUAACCGGCCUGAGAGGGUGUACGGUCACGUUGGAACUGAGACACGGUCCAAACUCCUACGGGAGGCAGCAGUCAGGAAUAUUGCACAAUGGGGGAAACCCUGAUGCAGCGACGCCGCGUGAAGGAUGACGGUCUUCGGAUUGUAAACUUCUGUUAAGUGGGAAGAAAGAAUUACUUUUAAUAGAAGUAAGUGAUGACAGUACCACUCGAGAAAGCACCGGCUAACUUUGUGCCAGCAGCCGCGGUAAUACAAGGGGUGCUAGCGUUAUUCGGAUUCAUUGGGCGUAAAGGGUACGUAGACGGCGUAUUAAGUUAGUUGUUAAAUUUCUCGGCCUAACCGAGAGCGAGCAAUUAAUACUGGUAUGCUAGAGGGUGAGAGAGAGGAGUGGAAUUCUCGGAGUAGCGGUAAAAUGCGUAGAUAUCGAGAGGAACACCGAUGGCGAAGGCAGCUCCUUGGCUCAUUCCUGACGUUGAGGUACGAAAGCGUGGGUAGCAAACAGGAUUAGAUACCCUGGUAGUCCACGCCGUAAACGAUGAUCACUAGACGUCUGUCUUGCUUAGCAGGAUAGGUGUCGCAGCUAACGCGUUAAGUGAUCCCGCCUGGGGACUACGGUCGCAAGACUAAAACUCAAAGAAAUUGACGGGGAUCCGCACAAGCGGUGGACCAUGUGGUUUUAAUCGACACUACGCGAGAAACCUUACCUAAGCUUGACAUGCUUUUGAUCGCUGCAGAAACGUAGCUUUCCAGACUUCGGUUUGGACAAUUGCACAGGUGCUGCAUGGCUGUCGUCAGCUCGUGUCGUGAGAUGUUUGGUUAAGUCCUCUAACGAGCGCAACCCCUGCUAUCAGUUGCUACUUGCUUGCAAGGCACUCUGGUAGGACUGCCUGGGAAACCAGGAGGAAGGUGGGGAUGACGUCAAGUCAUCAUGGUCCUUAUGCCUAGGGCUACACACGUGUUACAAUGGCUAAUACAGAGGGCUGCAAACUUGUAAAAGUAAGCUAAUCCCAGAAAGUUAGUCUAAGUUCGGAUUGAGGUCUGCAAUUCGACCUCAUGAAGUUGAAAUCGCUAGUAAUCGCGCAUCAGAACGGCGCGGUGAAUACGUUCUCGGAUCUUGUACACACCGCCCGUCACACCACGAAAGCUGUCUGUACCCAAAGUUACUUUAGCCAACCUGCAAAGGGGGCGAGUACCUAAGGUAUGGGGGGUGAUUGGGGUG
rnacentral:rRNA from 1 species